UUACGACCACAUCAUGUUGAAAAACCGGUUCCUGUACGAUCACCGAAGUUAAGCAACGUCGAGCUUGAUUACUAACGAAAUGGGUGACCGCUUGGGAAUACCA